UACGGAGGGUGCAAGCAUUAAUCGGAUUUAUUGGGCGUAAAGGGCGUGUAGGCGGUGGGCUAAGUCAAAUGUGAAAUCCCGGAGCUCAACUCCGGAACGGCAUUUGAAACUGACUCACUCGAGGAUAGACGGAGAAAAUGGAAUUCCACGUGUAGCGGUGAAAUGCGUAGAUAUGUGGAAGAACACCUGUGGCGAAAGCGGUUUUCUAGUUUAUACCUGACGCUGAGGCGCAAAAGCAAGGGGAGCAAACAGG
rnacentral:rRNA from 1 species